AUGGUCUGGCUCUGUGUGGAAGACUAGUGAUUUUGUUGUUCUGACUUAUAAAAGUGACAACAAAUCAUAGCCUGCCAUACAGCACGGACCACAGCCA
ensembl:miRNA